CACGGAGUUAGCCGGUGCUUAUUCCCAGGGUACCGUCAAGCUCCUAAGAAUAGAAGUGUUUCGUCCCCUGUAAAAGAAGUUUACAACCCAGAGGGCCUUCAUCCUCCACGCGGCAUGGCUGGUUCAGACUUGCGUCCAUUGACCAAUAUUCCUUACUGCUGCCUCCCGUAGGAGUCGGGCCCGUGUCUCAGUGCCCGUGUGACUGGUCGUGCUCUCACACCAGUUACUGAUCGCAGGCUUGGUGGGCCGUUACCCCGCCAACUACCUAAUCAGCCGCACGCCCAUCCCUGUCCUCCAGAGAUUUAAUAGCUGUGUGAUGCCACACCACUAUCUUAUGGGGAGUUAAUCCACCUUUCGGUGGGCUAUGCCCCAGACAAGGGUAAGUUGCGUACGUGUUCCGCACCCGUUUGCCGGUCGCCAGCAACUGUAUUGCUACAGUCCUGCUGCCCCUCGACUUGCAUGUAUUAAGCCUGCCGCUAGCGUUCAUCCUGAGCCAGGAUA
rnacentral:rRNA from 1 species